rnacentral:tRNA from 1 species
AAGAUUUUAAGUUAAAAAAACUAAUAGCCUUCAAAGCUUUAAAUAAAGUAAAAAAUCUUUAAAUCUUA